UAAUAGGGGUGACAAGAUACCCACGAUUC
rnacentral:piRNA from 1 species